rnacentral:ncRNA from 1 species
AACAAAGCUUUGACAGGGAUAAGUAAACAAUAUCGUAUUUCAAAGAGAAUGGGGACACGGUGGAAGCCCAUAUUUACGGUUGUUGAAACUCACCCUCGAGCUGCAGGCUGAAAUUAAGUAGGACCUGCCGGCAACAUGCCGUUAUUUGAUGAAGUUAUAAAUUUGGGUGGUAACGCGAGCAGAUUUCUCGCCCCAUAA